rnacentral:lncRNA from 1 species
GGAAGGUCUCCGUGGGCCGAGGAGAGGAGACGGGGAAGGAGAGGAUGCCACGUCCUGAGUUCCAGGUGCCACUCGCUUGCCGCCCCCCACCCCCACCCCGCAUCCCUCUUCCGGUCGUUGUCAACCUUUCCCGGUCUGCACUGCGUCCCUCCCACGGUCUUCCUCUCCUGGCUGAGACUCACUUUUCUCUAUUUUCCUCACGCUCUCCUUCAAACACUAAUCGUAACCCCCACCCCCAUCCCUUGCGGGGCCCGAACGCCUUGGCGACCCCUACGUCCCCAUGGCAACAGCGGUGAUUUCACUCUGGGCUCGGCUUACCACCCGGCCCCCGCGCUCCGGGCUGCUGUCUGCGGGCGGCGGCAGUGUGGUGAGCCGGCUGCAGGCCGAGAUGCUGCAGAUGGACCUGAUCGACGCAGCGGGGGACACUCUCGGCGCCGAGGAUGACGAGGAGGGAGGACGAGGAGCGUGCAGCACGGCGCCCAGGAGCGGG